GGGCCGGCCCCCAGAAGGAGGUUUCUUGACUGAGUGACUGGAAGACUGAGGGUUUGGAGGUUAAAUGGGGCAGUCAGAACUGGAAGUAGGGGAAAUAACAUGGGGAGACAGCCUGAGGGCACAUGGUUUCUGCCCCUCAGGAGAGUGUAUGGCAGAGACUAGGUAGCCCCAUAGCCAUUAUAGUACAAUGCAAUCCUUUUAAUACAGGACAUUUCAUUUUUCCCUCAAAACAGCUUUAUGAGUUGAGAGUUAUUUUUUAAGAGCAUCUUAUUGAGAUAUGAUUUACAUAAAUAUAAUACACCUACUUAAAGUGUACAGUUC